GCAGAACCUCAGCGUUACCACAGGGAGUUUUCAAAGUGCAAGGCUUUCUCUUCAUCAGCAAGUCUUAAACACUAAAGGAAAAAGGACAGAAGAAAAGAAUGAAACACGGAUAACGAGCAAGUUUUCAAUAUGAAUUAAGGGCUGCAAAUGUAGAUACAAAAUUCAGAAGUAAAAAUUCUUCCUAAAUGGAAAAGACUCACAAGUAUAUAAUUCCAUAAAUAAAGUAAAUAAAAGACCUUAGUGACAACAAAGCACACAUGUCUUUUUUCUAAAGAAGUGGCGUACACAUGUAGAAUGUUUCAAAAU
rnacentral:lncRNA from 1 species